rnacentral:rRNA from 1 species
UACGAAGGGGGCUAGCGUUGCUCGGAAUCACUGGGCGUAAAGGGUGCGUAGGCGGGUUUUUAAGUCAGGGGUGAAAUCCUGGAGCUCAACUCCAGAACUGCCUUUGAUACUGAGAAUCUUGAGUAUGGGAGAGGUGAGUGGAACUGCGAGUGUAGAGGUGAAAUUCGUAGAUAUUCGCAAGAACACCAGUGGCGAAGGCGGCUCACUGGCCCGAUACUGACGCUGAGGUGCGAAAGCGUGGGGAGCAAACAGG